ACCUGGCUGGCUCAGUUGGUAGAGCAUGUGACUCUUGAUCUCAGGGUUGUGAGUUCGAGCCUCAAGUUGGGUG